rnacentral:rRNA from 1 species
GGGUUGUGAGGUUAAGCGACUAAGCGUACACGGUGGAUGCCCUGGCAGUCAGAGGCGAUGAAGGACGUGCUAAUCUGCGAAAAGCGACGGCGAGGUGAUAUGAACCCCUGACCCGUCGAUGUCCGAAUGGGGAAACCCAGUGCAAUCCGUUGCACUAUCGUUAACUGAAUACAUAGGUUAACGAGGCGAACCGGGGGAACUGAAACAUCUAAGUACCCCGAGGAAAAGAAAUCAACCGAGAUUCCCCCAGUAGCGGCGAGCGAACGGGGAGCAGCCCGGAGUCUGAAUCAGCUUGUGUGUUAGUGGAACGGUCUGGAAAGUCCGACGGUACAGGGUGAUAGUCCCGUACAUGAAAGCACACUUGCUGUGAACUCGAAGAGUAGGGCGGGACACGUGGUAUCCUGUCUGAAUAUGGGGGGACCAUCCUCCAAGGCUAAAUACUCCUGACUGACCGAUAGUGAACCAGUACCGUGAGGGAAAGGCGAAAAGAACCCCGGCGAGGGGAGUGAAAAAGAACCUGAAACCGUGUACGUACAAGCAGUGGGAGCCUCUUUUAUGGGGUGACUGCGUACCUUUUGUAUAAUGGGUCAGCGACUUAUAUUCUGUAGCAAGGUUAACCGUAUAGGGGAGCCGAAGGGAAACCGAGUCUUAACUGGGCGUUAAGUUGCAGGGUAUAGACCCGAAACCCGGUGAUCUAGCCAUGGGCAGGUUGAAGGUUGGGUAACACUAACUGGAGGACCGAACCGACUAAUGUUGAAAAAUUAGCGGAUGACCUGUGGCUGGGGGUGAAAGGCCAAUCAAACCGGGAGAUAGCUGGUUCUCCCCGAAAGCUAUUUAGGUAGCGCCUCGUGAAUUCAUCUUCGGGGGUAGAGCACUGUUUCGGCUAGGGGGCCAUCCCGGCUUACCAACCCGAUGCAAACUACGAAUACCGAAGAAUGUUAUCACGGGAGACACACGGCGGGUGCUAACGUCCGUCGUGAAGAGGGAAACAACCCAGACCGCCAGCUAAGGUCCCAAAGUCAUGGUUAAGUGGGAAACGAUGUGGGAAGGCACAGACAGCCAGGAUGUUGGCUUAGAAGCAGCCAUCAUUUAAAGAAAGCGUAAUAGCUCACUGGUCGAGUCGGCCUGCGCGGAAGAUGUAACGGGGCUAAACCAUGCACCGAAGCUGCGGCAGCGACGCUUAUGCGUUGUUGGGUAGGGGAGCGUUCUGUAAGCCGUUGAAGGUGUGCUGUGAGGCAUGCUGGAGGUAUCAGAAGUGCGAAUGCUGACAUAAGUAACGAUAAAGCGGGUGAAAAGCCCGCUCGCCGGAAGACCAAGGGUUCCUGUCCAACGUUAAUCGGGGCAGGGUGAGUCGACCCCUAAGGCGAGGCCGAAAGGCGUAGUCGAUGGGAAACAGGUUAAUAUUCCUGUACUUGGUGUUACUGCGAAGGGGGGACGGAGAAGGCUAUGUUAGCCGGGCGACGGUUGUCCCGGUUUAAGCAUGUAGGCGGAGGUUCCAGGUAAAUCCGGUACCUUUUAACGCUGAGGUGUGAUGACGAGGCACUACGGUGCUGAAGUAACAAAUGCCCUGCUUCCAGGAAAAGCCUCUAAGCAUCAGGUAACACGAAAUCGUACCCCAAACCGACACAGGUGGUCAGGUAGAGAAUACCAAGGCGCUUGAGAGAACUCGGGUGAAGGAACUAGGCAAAAUGGUGCCGUAACUUCGGGAGAAGGCACGCUGAUAUGUAGGUGAAGCCCCUGCGGGUGGAGCUGAAAUCAGUCGAAGAUACCAGCUGGCUGCAACUGUUUAUUAAAAACACAGCACUGUGCAAACACGAAAGUGGACGUAUACGGUGUGACGCCUGCCCGGUGCCGGAAGGUUAAUUGAUGGGGUUAGCGGCAACGCGAAGCUCUUGAUCGAAGCCCCGGUAAACGGCGGCCGUAACUAUAACGGUCCUAAGGUAGCGAAAUUCCUUGUCGGGUAAGUUCCGACCUGCACGAAUGGCGUAAUGAUGGCCAGGCUGUCUCCACCCGAGACUCAGUGAAAUUGAACUCGCUGUGAAGAUGCAGUGUACCCGCGGCAAGACGGAAAGACCCCGUGAACCUUUACUAUAGCUUGACACUGAACACUGGUCCUUGAUGUGUAGGAUAGGUGGGAGGCUUUGAAGCGUGGACGCCAGUCUGCGUGGAGCCAUCCGGGUUGCGGACAGUGUCUGGUGGGUAGUUUGACUGGGGCGGUCUCCUCCCAAAGAGUAACGGAGGAGCACGAAGGUUAGCUAAUCCUGGUCGGACAUCAGGAGGUUAGUGCAAUGGCAUAAGCUAGCUUGACUGCGAGAGUGACGGCUCGAGCAGGUGCGAAAGCAGGUCAUAGUGAUCCGGUGGUUCUGAAUGGAAGGGCCAUCGCUCAACGGAUAAAAGGUACUCCGGGGAUAACAGGCUGAUACCGCCCAAGAGUUCAUAUCGACGGCGGUGUUUGGCACCUCGAUGUCGGCUCAUCACAUCCUGGGGCUGAAGUAGGUCCCAAGGGUAUGGCUGUUCGCCAUUUAAAGUGGUACGCGAGCUGGGUUUAGAACGUCGUGAGACAGUUCGGUCCCUAUCUGCCGUGGGCGCUGGAGAAUUGAGGGGGGCUGCUCCUAGUACGAGAGGACCGGAGUGGACGCAUCACUGGUGUUCGGGUUGUCAUGCCAAUGGCACUGCCCGGUAGCUAAAUGCGGAAGAGAUAAGUGCUGAAAGCAUCUAAGCACGAAACUUGCCCCGAGAUGAGUUCUCCCUGAGACUUUAAGUCUCCUGAAGGAACGUUAAAGACUAUGACGUUGAUAGGUCGGGUGUGUAAGCGCAGCGAUGCGUUGCGCUAACCGAUACUAAUGAACCGUGAGGCUUAACCUUACAACGCCGAAGCUGUU